rnacentral:rRNA from 1 species
GCUAGCGUUGUUCGGAAUUACUGGGCGUAAAGGGCGCGUAGGCGGCUCUUUAAGUUAGGCGUGAAAGCCCUGGGCUUAACCUAGGAAUUGCGUUUAAUACUGGAGAGCUAGAGAUUGGUAGAGGGAAAUGGAAUUCCUAGUGUAGAGGUGAAAUUCGUAGAUAUUAGGAAGAACACCAGAGGCGAAGGCGGUUUCCUGGGCCAACACUGACGCUGAGGCGCGAAAGCGUGGGGAGCAAACAGG